CCAGAAUGGAUCACAGAUGAUCGUUGGCCAACAGGUGGCAGAAGAGGAAUUCCUGCCUUCCUCAAGAGGAACACCUACCCCUUGGCUAAUGCUGGGGAUGUCAAAAGAUCGGCCCAGCUCAGGGAGCAGUUUGCCCUACUAGCUCCUCGGACAGCUGUAAAGAAGAGUCUCUGGCUCUUUAGAAUACUGAUCCCAUUGAAGAUACCACGCUGCAUGUGUCCUUAGUAGUCAUGUCUCCUUAGGCUCCUCUUGGACAUUCUGAGCAUGUGAGACCUGAGGACUGCAAACAGCUAUAAGAGGCUCCAAAUUAAUCAUAUCUUUCCCUUUGAGAAUCUGGCCAAGCUCCAGCUAAUCUACUUGGAUGGGUUGCCAGCUAUCUGGAGAAAAAGAUCUUCCUCAGAAGAAUAGGCUUGUUGUUUUACAGUGUUAGUGAUCCAUUCCCUUUGACGAUCCCUAGGUGGAGAUGGGGCAUGAGGAUCCUCCAGGGGAAAAGCUCACUACCACUGGGCAACAACCCUAGGUCAGGAGGUUCUGUCAAGAUACUUUCCUGGUCCCAGAUAGGAAGAUAAAGUCUCAAAAACAACCACCACACGUCAAGCUCUUCAUUGUUCCUAUCUGCCAAAUCAUUAUACUUCCUACAAGCAGUGCAGAGAGCUGAGUCUUCAGCAGGUCCAAGAAAUUUGAACACACUGAAGGAAGUCAGCCUUCCCACCUGAAGAUCAACAUGCCUGGCACUCUAGCACUUGAGGAUAGCUGAAUGAAUGUGUCUUACCCAUUUCCAUGUUUCUCUUGCUAAUUUCUUUCGUGUGUGCCUUUGCCUCAUUUUCUCUUUUUGUUCACAAGAGUGGUCUGUGUCUUGUCUUAGACAUAUCUCUCAUUUUUCAUUUUGUUGCUAUUUCUCUUUGCUCUCCUAGAUGUGGCUCUUCUUUCACGCUUUAUUUCAUGUCUCCUUUUUGGGUCACAUGCUGUGUGCUUUUUGUCCUUUUCUUGUUCUGUCUACCUCUCCUUUCUCUGCCUACCUCUCUUUUCUCUUUGUGAACUGUGAUUAUUUGUUACCCCUUCCCCUUCUCGUUCGUUUUAAAUUUCACCUUUUUUCUGAGUCUGGCCUCCUUUCUGCUGUUUCUACUUUUUAUCUCACAUUUCUCAUUUCUGCAUUUCCUUUCUGCCUCUCUUGGGCUAUUCUCUCUCUCCUCCCCUGCGUGCCUCAGCAUCUCUUGCUGUUUGUGAUUUUCUAUUUCAGUAUUAAUCUCUGUUGGCUUGUAUUUGUUCUCUGCUUCUUCCCUUUCUACUCACCUUUGAGUAUUUCAGCCUCUUCAUGAAUCUAUCUCCCUCUCUUUGAUUUCAUGUAAUCUCUCCUUAAAUAUUUCUUUGCAUAUGUGGGCAAGUGUACGUGUGUGUGUGUCAUGUGUGGCAGAGGGGCUUCCUAACCCCUGCCUGAUAGGUGCAGAACGUCGGCUAUCAGAGCAAGCAUUGUGGAGCGGUUCCUUAUGCCAGGCUGCCAUGUGAGAUGAUCCAAGACCAAAACAAGGCCCUAGACUGCAGUAAAACCCAGAACUCAAGUAGGGCAGAAGGUGGAAGGCUCAUAUGGAUAGAAGGCCCAAAGUAUAAGACAGAUGGUUUGAGACUUGAGACCCGAGGACUAAGAUGGAAAGCCCAUGUUCCAAGAUAGAUAGAAGCCUCAGGCCUGAAACCAACAAAAGCCUCAAGAGCCAAGAAAACAGAGGGUGGCCUGAAUUGGACCGAAGGCCUGAGUUGGAUGGAAGUCUCAAGGCUUGAGUUAGAAGUCUUAAGACCUGGGACAGGACACAUGGAAGGCCUAAGAACUGAGACUUGUGACACAAGGCCAACGACCUAAGAUUAGCCCAGGGUUGUAGCUGGAAGACCUACAACCCAAGGAUGGAAGGCCCCUGUCACAAAGCCUACCUAGAUGGAUAGAGGACCCAAGCGAAAAAGGUAUCUCAAGACUAACGGCCGGAAUCUGGAGGCCCAUGACCCAGAACCCAGGAAGGAUAGAAGCUUGAAGACCUGGGGAAAUCCCAAGAUGAGAACCCUAAACCCUACCUCUUUUCUAUUGUUUACACUUCUUACUCUUAGAUAUUUCCAGUUCUCCUGUUUAUCUUUAAGCCUGAUUCUUUUGAGAUGUACUUUUUGAUGUUGCCGGUUACCUUUAGAUUGACAGUAUUAUGCCUGGGCCAGUCUUGAGCCAGCUUUAAAUCACAGCUUUUACCUAUUUGUUAGGCUAUAGUGUUUUGUAAACUUCUGUUUCUAUUCACAUCUUCUCCACUUGAGAGAGACACCAAAAUCCAGUCAGUAUCUAAUCUGGCUUUUGUUAACUUCCCUCAGGAGCAGACAUUCAUAUAGGUGAUACUGUAUUUCAGUCCUUUCUUUUGACCCCAGAAGCCCUAGACUGAGAAGAUAAAAUGGUCAGGUUGUUGGGGAAAAAAAAGUGCCAGGCUCUCUAGAGAAAAAUGUGAAGAGAUGCUCCAGGCCAAUGAGAAGAAUUAGACAAGAAAUACACAGAUGUGCCAGACUUCUGAGAAGCACCUGCCAGCAACAGCUUCCUUCUUUGAGCUUAGUUUCUGGCAUCACUACCACUACUGAUUAAACAAGAAUAAGAGAACAUUUUAUCAUCAUCUGCUUUAUUCACAUAAAUGAAGUUGUGAUGAAUAAAUCUGCUUUUAUGCAGACACAAGGAAUUAAGUGGCUUCGUCAUUGUCCUUCUACCUCAAAGAUAAUUUAUUCCAAAAGCUAAGAUAAAUGGAAGACUCUUGAACUUGUGAACUGAUGUGAAAUGCAGAAUCUCUUUUGAGUCUUUGCUGUUUGGAAGAUUGAAAAAUAUUGUUCAGCAUGGGUGACCACCAGAAAGUAAUCUUAAGCCAUCUAGAUGUCACAAUUGAAACAAACUGGGGAGUUGGUUGCUAUUGUAAAAUAAAAUAUACUGUUUUGAAAA
rnacentral:lncRNA from 1 species